rnacentral:tRNA from 1 species
CGGAGUAUAGCGCAGUCUGGCUAGCGCAUCGCGUUUGGGACGCGAGGGUCGGGGGUUCAAAUCCCUCUACUCCGA